GAAGGAAGUCAGGGAGAUUGUGUGGAGCCUCAGAAGUCUGAAGAAAAUGACUUCACCUGUGUGUGCACUGUAGAGAGAGAAAUCUGAUGGGCAGAAUGAAAAGAAGAAGAAAGGACGACAGAGGACAUAGCUAACACAAGUCAGGUUACCACGGAGACAGAAAGCAAGAUGGCAGAGACCAUGGGACUGAAUCCAAGGCUGCAGUGUCCUACUUGCCGUAGGCUGCCUCCCCGGGACCUGCGCUUGUGGGAGUUAUCAGCACUGGCCAGAUAAUAACUGACCACCCAUCACCAACAGCGGGGUGAGGAGAACUGUCUCAGAGGACAAGAAAAACCCAGCAGCACUUGGCUUUGAGAUGUUUUGUUUCUCUUCCAACUCCUUCCCCUGUACUUGGUCAUACUAUAUACUAAUAAAUUUCUUCUUAAUUCUU